rnacentral:rRNA from 1 species
UGACCUCGGAUCAGGUAGAUCCCA